ACUCAAAGGAAUAGACGGGGGCCCGCACAAGCGGUGGAGCAUGUGGUUCAAUUCGACGCAACGCGAAGAACCUUACCUGGGCUCGAAGCACAGUGGACCGGGGUAGAAAUAUCCCUUUUCGCAAGAACUGCUGUGGAGGUGCUGCAUGGCUGUCGUCAGCUCGUGUCGUGAGAUGUUGGGUUAAGUCCCGCAACGAGCGCAACCCUUAUCGUUAGUUGCCAUCAGGUCAAGCUGGGCACUCUAGCGAAACCGCCCCGGAUAACGGGGAGGAAGGUGGGGAUGACGUCAAGUCCUCAUGGCCUUUAUGUCCAGGGCUACACACGUGCUACAAUGGUCGGUACAAACCGUCGCAAACCUGCGAAGGGGAGCUAAUCGGAAAAAGCCGGCCUCAGUUCGGAUUGGAGUCUGCAACUCGACUCCAUGAAGCUGGAAUCGCUAGUAAUCGCGGAUCAGCACGCCGCGGUGAAUACGUUCCCGGGCCUUGUACACACCGCCCGU
rnacentral:rRNA from 1 species